AUUGGUUAGAGUACCGCCCUGUCAAGACGGAAGUUGCGGGUUCGAGCCCCGUCAGUCCCG
rnacentral:tRNA from 2 species